UCUGUCUUCAUUGUAUUAUGAUACUGUUGUGUCUGCUAUUACCCCCAACGUUGACCAGGCUCUAUCUGAAAUACAGUCUGUCUUCAUUGUAUUAUGAUACUGUUGUGUCUGCUAUUACCCCCAACGUUGACCAGUCUCUAUCUGAACUACAGUCUGUCUUCAUUGUAUUACAGAAAAACUUAAUUGACCUGAAAUUAGUGUUGAAUGCAGAUAAAACUAAGUGCAUAUUGUUCUCUAGAGCACAUAAAAACAAAUAAGAUGAUUUCAGCAUAUGAACGUUGGAUGGUUUUUCAUAUUGAUCGUGUCCCUGCUUACAAAUAUCUGGGCAUCUGGAUAGAUGAAAAGCUGUCUUUUAUAAAGCAUAUUGAUGAGUUAGCUGAGAAGCUGAGAGUUAAAAUGGUCUUCUAUAGAAACAGGUCCUGCCUCUCGCUAAAUAGUAGAAAGCAUAUCAUUCAGUCGACGUUCCUAUCAGUCCGAAACUAUGGCAACAUCAUGUAUACUAACGCAGCUGCCACUUCAUUAAAGCUUUUAGAUGCAGUUUAUCAUAGCGCACUGUGGUUUAUUACGGGUGAUAGUUUUAGUACUCAUCACUGCAUUCUCUACUGUAAAGUUGGUUGGCCGUCUUUGAUAUCACGUAGGUUGAUACAUUGCUGUGUUUUCAUUCAAAAAGCACUUAUACAAAAAUGGCCACUGUACUUACAUUUUAGUCAUUUAGCAGACGCUCUUAUCCAGAGCGACUUACAUUAGUGAAAGCAUACAUUUCAUAGAAUUAUUUUCCUGUGCUGGCCCCCCGUGGGAAUCGAACCCACAACCCCUGGCAUUGCAAACACCAUGCUCUACCAACUGAGCUACAGGGAAGGCUACUUAAUAUCUUUACUACAUUUAGACAUGAGUCACCACACCCAGUCUCAGGGAUGGGAAACUCUGGAAAUUCAUUUGGUCUCAACGGAGUUUGGUGAAUCAGCUUUUAGUUUUCCUACACUUUAUUUGUGGAACAAUCUUCAAAGGGUUCUUUAAAUGUGAUGUUUUGGUGUCUCCAGGUCAAUUCAGAAAGCUGAUUGAGGACAUUAUUACUGAUGAAUGUGAUGUUUUGGUGUCACUCGGUCAAUUCAGAAAGCAGUCCAUCUUGUUGUUUUGAGUAUAUAGUCCAUGUACAUUGUAUGCUACUUACAGCAGAGCUUUACGAGGGCAGCUGCUGGGGGUCGUUGUGACAGAAACCACCAGAGAAAGAGGAUUCCUGGUGGUGUAGGACUUUAAACAGCAGAAACCACCAGAGAGAGAG
rnacentral:tRNA from 1 species